AACCGGGCCCUCUUCCACUGGAGGACUCUCUUCGAUCUGAGGCCCCUCGGGGGUAGAAGCAUCCUCGAAGAUAGCACCAGAGGACGUAGAACCUUCAUACUGACUGCCCUCACCACUUUAGCAAAGAAACUUCAUAGAAGUAAAAAUAUGAAGAAAUCGAUAUGUCUAGAUACCCUCUUUUUCUAUGGAUAAAAGAUCUAAUU
rnacentral:lncRNA from 1 species